GAUGAACGCUGGCGGCGUGCCUAAUACAUGCAAGUCGAGCGAACGGACGAGAAGCUUGCUUCUCUGAUGUUAGCGGCGGACGGGUGAGUAACACGUGGAUAACCUACCUAUAAGACUGGGAUAACUUCGGGAAACCGGAGCUAAUACCGGAUAAUAUUUUGAACCGCAUGGUUCAAAAGUGAAAGACGGUCUUGCUGUCACUUAUAGAUGGAUCCGCGCUGCAUUAGCUAGUUGGUAAGGUAACGGCUUACCAAGGCAACGAUGCAUAGCCGACCUGAGAGGGUGAUCGGCCACACUGGAACUGAGACACGGUCCAGACUCCUACGGGAGGCAGCAGUAGGGAAUCUUCCGCAAUGGGCGAGAGCCUGACGGAGCAACGCCGCGUGAGUGAUGAAGGUCUUCGGAUCGUAAAACUCUGUUAUUAGGGAAGAACAUAUGUGUAAGUAACUGUGCACAUCUUGACGGUACCUAAUCAGAAAGCCACGGCCAACUACGUGCCAGCAGCCGCGGUAAUACGUAGGUGGCAAGCGUUAUCCGGAAUUAUUGGGCGUAAAGCGCGCGUAGGCGGUUUUUUAAGUCUGAUGUGAAAGCCCACGGCUCAACCGUGGAGGGUCAUUGGAAACUGGAAAACUUGAGUGCAGAAGAGGAAAGUGGAAUUCCAUGUGUAGCGGUGAAAUGCGCAGAGAUAUGGAGGAACACCAGUGGCGAAGGCGACUUUCUGGUCUGUAACUGACGCUGAUGUGCGAAAGCGUGGGGAUCAAACAGGAUUAGAUACCCUGGUAGUCCACGCCGUAAACGAUGAGUGCUAAGUGUUAGGGGGUUUCCGCCCCUUAGUGCUGCAGCUAACGCAUUAAGCACUCCGCCUGGGGAGUACGACCGCAAGGUUGAAACUCAAAGGAAUUGACGGGGACCCGCACAAGCGGUGGAGCAUGUGGUUUAAUUCGAAGCAACGCGAAGAACCUUACCAAAUCUUGACAUCCUUUGACAACUCUAGAGAUAGAGCCUUCCCCUUCGGGGGACAAAGUGACAGGUGGUGCAUGGUUGUCGUCAGCUCGUGUCGUGAGAUGUUGGGUUAAGUCCCGCAACGAGCGCAACCCUUAAGCUUAGUUGCCAUCAUUAAGUUGGGCACUCUAAGUUGACUGCCGGUGACAAACCGGAGGAAGGUGGGGAUGACGUCAAAUCAUCAUGCCCCUUAUGAUUUGGGCUACACACGUGCAACAAUGGACAAUACAAAGGGCAGCGAAACCGCGAGGUCGAGCAAAUCCCAUAAAGUUGUUCUCAGUUCGGAUUGUAGUCUGCAACUCGACUACAUGAAGCUGGAAUCGCUAGUAAUCGUAGAUCAGCAUGCUACGGUGAAUACGUUCCCGGGUCU
rnacentral:rRNA from 1 species